AGUGAACGCUGGCGGUAGGCCUAACACAUGCAAGUCGAACGAGUGUCGGACGGGUGGGGUAUUCAUCGGCAUCUCCUCUGCCUUGGGGGCUAACGUGGGUAAACUUUCGCUACUACCGCAUACGAUUGUAUGAGCUGUUGUGGGAUUAGCUAGUCGGGGGGGUAAAGGCCCACCAAGGCGACGAUCCGUAGCUGGGCUGAGAUGAUUAUCCGCCAAACUGGAACUGGUACACGGUCCAGACUCCUACGGGAGGCAGCAGUGGGGAAUAUUGGGCAAUUGGACGAAGCCCGAUCCAGCCAUACCGCGUUGGUGAAGAAGGCCUUCGGGUUGUAAAGCCCUUUUGUUGGGAAAGCGGUACCCAAAGAAUAAGCACCGGCUAACUUCGUGCCAGCAGCCGCGGUAAUUC
rnacentral:rRNA from 1 species